UAUGCUUUUCUCAGGAAAGUUCUGGAACUUCUAAUAUGAUGGGAUAAAGCAGAGUAUGAUAUAUGGCUUUUUGUCUUUCAAGGCACUUCCAUAUAUAUAAAAAACUGCAGGGGUGCAGUGAACGAUGGGGCGCUGUGUAUAUAAUUAAAAUAAGUUUAGUAGAUUUUAGAAUAAUCUACAAGACACUGUUGCUGCCGCUGCCUCCGCCUCCGCCACGGCAACCUUAUCCAUUGGUUUUCUCAUAAAAUAUGAAUUAAUGUUUAGAAAAAUAAAGCUAUUAUUAUAAUAUGCGGUGCAUACCAAAUCCUGUAUGGUUAUUAAAAUUGCAUCGAUUUUGUAAAUCGGGGCUUUGAUGGACUGUUUUUAAAAAUUUUAAUCACAUUUU